UAGUUACUCCCUCCGUCCGGAAUUACUUGUCGGAGGAAUGGAUGUAUCUAGAUGUAUUUUAGUUCUAGAUACAUCUACUUUUAUUCUUUUUUAAGACAAGUAACGGAGGAAGUAUAUA
rfam:Triticum urartu cultivar G1812 contig158178, whole genome shotgun sequence.